rnacentral:misc_RNA from 1 species
GUAUUUCAUUGCGUUAAACGCGACAUACAUUCCAUUAGACUUUAUUUCGGUGUGUGUGUAAAGACAUAGAACCACAGCAGGAGGACAGGGCCCCCCAGGCCAUAGAACUACAGAGGGUGCACAGGUGUGAGUGGAUGUGUAAACAGAGCGUGCACAUGCCCCCAUACAGGGGCCAGCAACAACCCUUGUUGACAGUUCGGUAAUGAUCCUUCCGCAGGUUCACCUACGGAAA